GGAACACUGUACAAAAAACAUAAAUAACAACAUAAGGAUCUAUCAAUUGAAGUUACAAAGCUGCUGCUGUGAUGCAACUAUGUGAUGUGCGACUAUGUGAUGUUGGAGUCCUGACGCAGCGCUGCAACACCGGAGCUGCGAUGCUGACGAUGUUGGAGGCUGCUAUUAAAAUUUAUAAAAAUAAAAUGGAGCUACCCAGUAACAUGAUAAAUAAUUCUUUUCUAUUUUUUUUAAUUUUUAGUCCAAGUUCUUACAUACCUUGCCUCAAUUAUAAUUGACAAAAUCCACAUUGAAACCCAAAAAUCAGGAAUAAAAUAGGGAGUAAAUCACAAUCAUGAUGAUGAACACAAGAGCUUUAUAGCAAUUUAGUAUCUAAACUUCAAAUUAUAAUGCAAAACUGGUUCAACUGUAAUUUAGGUCACAGGUUUCUUUGCUAAUGUUAUGAAAUCAUAUAGAAAUAAUUAAAAAAAAAGGAUAAUAAUAACCUAAAUACUCUCACCAUCUACCUCCUAUUAAUGGAAAUCGAAAAAAGAAAAAGAAAAAAAGGGAAGUAAUAAAGUUCAAUGGAAUUGUGAAGUGGUAAAAAAAUUGGAAAGGAAAAGUCUGGGUAAAUGGACAAAGAGAAGAAAAAGCAACAAUUGGGAGAUUUUAGGAGGAAAAACUAUGGCCAGAAGGCCCAGUAAUUGUGAAGGUUUUAGAGAUGGGCGAAAAGAGAUGACUUGGGUAAAGAGGACGAAUAGAUUUCUAUUACAAAACAUCUUCAUAUAAUUCAAUUUAAAUUUAUAAUUCAUUAAGAACUUUGAUGUUAAAUCAAAAAGUUAUUAAGAAAUAUUAUGUUAUAAAGUUUAGGUAUCGUAAGCUAUAAACCUUAAAAGUCUGAAUGGGCCAUCCUUUAUGAAGCAUUUCACGAAAAUUU
rnacentral:lncRNA from 1 species